GGAUGCGAUCAUACCAGCACUAAAGCACCGGAUCCCAUCAGAACUCCGAAGUUAAGCGUGCUUGGCCGAGAGUAGUACUAGGAUGGGUGACCUGCUGGGAAGUCCUCGUGUUGCAUUCC
rnacentral:rRNA from 1 species